rnacentral:rRNA from 1 species
AGUGAACGCUGGCGGUAGGCCUAACACAUGCAAGUCGAACGGCAGCACAGUAAGAGCUUGCUCUUACGGGUGGCGAGUGGCGGACGGGUGAGGAAUACAUCGGAAUCUACUUUUUCGUGGGGGAUAACGUAGGGAAACUUACGCUAAUACCGCAUACGACCUACGGGUGAAAGCAGGGGAUCUUCGGACCUUGCGCGAUUGAAUGAGCCGAUGUCGGAUUAGCUAGUUGGCGGGGUAAAGGCCCACCAAGGCGACGAUCCGUAGCUGGUCUGAGAGGAUGAUCAGCCACACUGGAACUGAGACACGGUCCAGACUCCUACGGGAGGCAGCAGUGGGGAAUAUUGGACAAUGGGCGCAAGCCUGAUCCAGCCAUACCGCGUGGGUGAAGAAGGCCUUCGGGUUGUAAAGCCCUUUUGUCGGGAAAGAAAAGCAGCAGGUUAAUACCCCGCUGUCCUGACGGUACCCAAAGAAUAAGCACCGGCUAACUUCGUG